UACAGAGGGCUCGAGCGUUAAUCGGAAUCACUGGGCUUAAAGGGUGCGCAGGCGGACUCGUCAGUGUCUUGUGAAAUCCCAUGGCUCAACCAUGGAACUGCAGGGCAUACUGCGAGUCUUGAACCCGACAGGGGCAACCGGAACUCUAGGUGGAGCGGUGAAAUGCGUAGAUAUCUAGAGGAACGCCAAAGGCGAAGGCA
rnacentral:rRNA from 1 species